GACGAACGCUGGCGGCGUGCUUAACACAUGCAAGUCGAACGGAAAGGCCCUGCUUGCAGGGUACUCGAGUGGCGAACGGGUGAGUAACACGUGGGUGAUCUGCCCUGCACUUCGGGAUAAGCCUGGGAAACUGGGUCUAAUACCGGAUAGGAGCCAUUUUUAGUGUGAUGGUUGGAAAGUUUUUUCGGUGUAGGAUGAGCUCGCGGCCUAUCAGCUUGUUGGUGGGGUAAUGGCCUACCAAGGCGGCGACGGGUAGCCGGCCUGAGAGGGUGGACGGCCACAUUGGGACUGAGAUACGGCCCAGACUCCUACGGGAGGCAGCAGUGGGGAAUAUUGCACAAUGGGCGCAAGCCUGAUGCAGCGACGCCGCGUGGGGGGUGACGGCCUUCGGGUUGUAAACUCCUUUCGCUAGGGACGAAGCUUUUUGUGACGGUACCUAGAUAAGAAGCACCGGCUAACUACGUG
rnacentral:rRNA from 1 species